rnacentral:rRNA from 12 species
AUUGGAGGGCAAGUCUGGUUCCAGCAGCCGCGGUAAUUCCAGCUUCAAUAGCGUAUGUUAGAGUUGUUGCAGUUAAAAGGCUCGUAGUUGGAUUUCUGCUGGAGAUUGCUGGUCCGCCCUUCGGGUGAGUAUCUGGUGUGUCCUUGGCAUAUUCUUUGGAGGUGCAACUGCACUUGACUGUGUGGUGCACUUUUGAAGACGUUUACUUUGAGGAAAUGAGAGUGUUUAAAGCAAGUUUUUGCCUUGAAUACAAAAGCAUGGAAUAGUCGCAGAAUCUUGGCCUCAUUUUGUUGGUUUCUGGUGCAGAGGUAGUGGGCAACAGGGAUAGUUGGGGGCAUCAGUAUUUGACUGUCAGAGGUGAAAUUCUUGAAUUUGUCAUGGAUUGACUAGUGCGAUGGCAUUUGCCAAGGAUGUUUUCAUUUAUCAAGAACGAAAGUUAGGGGAUUGAAGACGAUUAGAUACCGUCAUAGUCUUAACCAUAAACCAUGCCAACUAGAGAUGGGAGGUCGUUACCUGAAGGACUCCUUCAGCACCUUUUGAGAAAUUGAAAGUUUUUGGGUUCUGGGGGGAGUAUGG